AGGUUUUACAUUCAGUUUAACGUUCAGUUUGUAAGCUUAUCAUCUUUUAACAAUAACCAAGGACACAAGGGAUAUUAUGAUAGAUUCAGUAACUGGGCAAUUGAGUUAUAUCAAAGAUAUUGUCGGUUAUUAUGACCCACUGCAGUGUCCUCUACUGUUUCCUUAUGGUUCUUACGACUGUGAUUUAAACAAUCGAAGUUCGACUGGUAAUAAGUUGGCAUGCCGGGAAUUCUAUGCAUACACGUCUCAGACGCGACAAAAUCUUAAUUCUCCAACCUUGAGAGCCGGUCGUCUACUCCAACAAUUUGUUGUCGAUAACCGUGUCAAAAUGCAAGCCAAUAAUUUGAGGUGGAUCGCACUCAACCAAGAAAAGAUACGUGCUGAUUUAUAUAAGGGUUUAGAGGAUUCUUUAAAUGUUGUAGAGCAUAACUGAGAUUCUGAUUUUUUAUUGAGAUAUGUUAGUUGCACCGAAAAUAAUAUUAACUUUAAUUCAU